rnacentral:lncRNA from 1 species
CGGCGGCGGCGGCGGCGGCGGCGGCGGCGGCCCGCGAGGGGAGCGGCGGGCGGGCGGGCCUGGCGGCGCGGGGGCCUGCGGUGCUGGCUCGGGGGACUCGCGGCGCCCGGGCCGGCGGACGGUGCCGGCUGCGCCCUCGCCGCCUCGGCUCCCCGCCCGCUCGCCGCCCGUCCCCGCCCAAGGGCAGGGACGCCGGGUUUCACGCGCUCGGGGACUUUGCUCGGGCAUGAUGCAACGCCGGGUCAGAGGGUAGGGGCCGCGCCGGGGUGGCCAGGACCGGGCCGGGGAGGCCCGGGGCGGGGGCCGCGGCGAGCCGAGCGCGGGCGCGCAGGGCGGACAGGCCGGGGCCGAACCACUCGGGGACUGCGGGGCGCCGGGCGCCACAGCACAGCCACGGGCGCCGGAGCCGGCUCGCGCCUGCGCGAGUCUCCGGGUCUGGCCGCCGCCGCGUGCCCUCGGCGGGGAGGCUGGCGGCGGGGGGCCCGGAAGCCGUAUUCUCCGGAUAACAGUCGCCACCAAAGGACGAACAAGCCUCCCCUCGGGAACAGGUGGCUGGCUAAGUCGUCCUCGGGUGCGAACGCGUCGAUACCCACUUGGAAGGCAACCACUGGGCCACCAGGGCUGCCCUUGGCAUAAGUUUUUAUGUAAUAUUUCUUCUGAUUCUUUUCCUCUCUUCUAUGUUUUUUUUCUCAUUCAUAAUUUUAUAUUACUUUUUUUGCUCCUUUCCCUUAAAUCAGGCUUGAGAAGGGCUUAUGUAUUUUAAAAACAAACACACAAAAUAACUAUUACUUUAAUAUAUCCCUUUAUACUAUAUUUUUAUUUCUAUUUAAGUAUUUUUAGUGUUUCUUUGUAUUAAUUUCCUAUUCAUAAUUUCUUGUGGCUUAUUUUUUGCUUUUUUUAUUUUCCUGAGAUGAGAACCCUGGGAUCCUUUUCACUAAAUGCUUUUUUAGCAAGAAAGAGAAGGAGGAGGAAGAGCAGGAGAAAGAGGGGGGGGAAAUGAAAACUUGGCUUUUUCUUUUGAACUAGCUUUAGCUGUUGUGCCACAGGUACUGAAAUGAAAUGGUUUCCUUUUCAUUUUCUACUUUAUAAUUCAAGUUUUGAUUUCUUCUUCAUCCUUUAUUUUCAAAUAGUAGAUAAAUUGGAUUUUGCUUUAUGUUUAUUCUUAACUUUAUUGGAUUAUUUUUAUAAAGUCCUACCUUUAUUUAAAAAGAAAAUAUGUUGGCUACUUGAAUUUGAAUUGAAAGAAAGAAAGAAAGAAAGAAAGAAAGAAAGAAAGAAAGAAAGAAAAAAUAUUGUGUGUUUCUAUGUAAGCCACAAUAUAAUCAAUUUUCUAUGAACAAAUCCCCAAAUCUUUUCUCUCUGUUUCAAAGAAACAGAGGUCUAUAUUCAUUACAUCAACUUUAUUAAUUGCAUUAUAUAAUUACUUUGUAUCCAUACUUUUUAAAAAAGAUUUUAUUUAUUCAUGAGAGACAGAAAGAGAGAGGCAAAAACACAGGCAGAGGGAGAAGCAGGCUCCCUGCAGGGAACCCAAUGUGGGACUCCAUCCCCAGGACCCAGGGACCACACCCUGAGCCAAAGGCAGCCGCUCAACCACUGAGCCUCCAGGCAUCCCUGCAUCCACACUUUUUGCUUAUUUUACCUGUUUAACUCUAAAAGAGACAAACUGAGGUCCUCCACUAUAGUUUUAUAUUUAUUACAUUCUCCUGGGAUUUCCAGUAGUUUUUACUUUAUACAUUAGCCUCUUUCUUCUUUGGCACAUACAUAGGGCACCUAAGAUGCUGUUUUCAUAUUUUGUGCUUUUAUUAUUACAUAAAGUAUAAGGUCCUCAUCUUAUUUACUGUUUCUAACCCUAAAUUUUAAUUUAUCUGAUCUUAAUAAUGCCACUCUCACUUCUUUUUGUUUCUCUGGUCUGGUAUCUCUUUCCUCACUCCUUUAUUUUCAAGAUUUCUUUAUUGCUUUAACUAUAUUUCCUAUAGGGACGCCUGGGUGGCUCAGCAGUUGAGCGUCUGCCUUCAGCUCAGGGCAUGAUCCCGGAGUCCUGGGAUCGAGUCCAUUUCAGGUCCCCACAGGGAGCCUGCUUCUCCCUCUACCUAUGUCUCUGCCUCUCUCUGUGUGUCUCUCAUGAAUAAAUAAAUAAAUAAAAUCUUUUAAAAGAAAUAUACUUGUAAACAGUGUAUAGUUAAGUGCUAUUUUUUAACUUAGUCUGAAAGUCUCUAUCUUUUAAUGGGAAAAUUCAAUCUGUAUAAUUAUAGCAUAAUGAUAGUUGAUUUCAAUAUUUUUGGGAUUUAUUUAUAUUUGUUCUUUUUCAUUUUCUUUGUUUUGUUAUAUUAAUCCCAUUUCCCCUUUUAUUUGGAAGUCUUAUGAUAUACUCUAUUCAAUCAAUCAUUAACUCUUCUAUCAAGAUUAUACUUGGAGGUAAUAACAAAUGCAACCAGUAUCUUAAAGGAAAUAGUAUAACGAGUGUGUAAGUGUGUGUGUGUGUGUGUGUGUGUAUAGUGUGCUGCACUUGAAUCUUUGUAUUAUUUUUCUUGUCAAAUUUCUUCUUGUCUCCUCUAGCAGUUUCUGUGUAUUCUGUUUAUUUUACAGCUGGUUAUCGAAAGAGUUGGAUUUGGCAGGGUUAGGUAACAGGAAACAAUUUAAUUUUUUCUAAUUAUUUUUUUCACUGCUAAUCCUACAGAAUUACUUUGUUUACGUAUUCCUCCCCAACCCUGAAUGAGAUCUCUGGGCAAUUUUCAUAAAUUUACUCUUUUCUCUGUUACAGUCUUGCCUGGCUGGCCACUGGCUGCUGCAGGGUGCCUUUUGAUGGAUUGUUACUUUUCUAAGUUGGCUCGGAGAAGCGCAGGUCUGUUUCUGGCAAUAUCUAGUGACUACAGUACUGUUAAGGUAAAGUCUUGCCCACUAUGCAGUGGUGCUAUAGAAGCAAGCAGACCACAAUCCCCUGGUGAGGCAUCUGAGGGAAAAUUCAUAGACCUCUGACUACUCAGUUUUCUCAGAGGUUUAGUGGUUCCUUUUGGCCUCUUGGGGCCAGUGAGACCAGAAACACAUAGGACCAAAGACAAUCUUUCUCUUGGGUAAUCCACAGCUCCCCAUGGCCAGCUGGUCUCAGGACAGCAGAACCUCCAUCAAUGCCUUGUGAUUCAGAGUCUGGUCUCCAGGGCCAUACACAGAUCUCAGCAUCAAAUUAGGAACCCUGUCUAUUCUUGCACCCCACUGCUUGAUGACCUCAGCAGCUAUUUGGCUUAAAAGAUGACAGAUGGAAGCUGAGAGUCAAAGAGAAAGGUGCAGAGUUUAGGUCAGUACCUUCCCAGAAUCCACUGCUCCCAGCUAUCCAGCUGUUUUAGUGAAUUCUCAGCCAAACUGAAUUUUUAAGUUGAUUUAAUGCCUUCCUAAAAGAUAAAGCUCACAAGUUACAGCAGAAAGUUCAAAAAAUUACGAAUACAAAAAUCCUUAGUUCUAAUUUGUGUCUCCUUUGAGCUAAAAUUCGAAUACUAUAGUUAGGUCCAGCAUUUAACUUCAAAAAGACUGAAGCAUAACUUCUGGGAGCAUCUUUUAAGAUGUUAUAUUAAGAGCACAGGAAAGAGUGAAAAUAGGAAGGGAAUUUUUAAUGAAUGUUUACUACACUCAAGUACUCAGGUACUGCACAUUACUUUUAACACUGAAAAUAGUAUACUGGGGGCACCUGGGUGGCUCAGUGGUUGAGCAUCUGCCUUUGGCUCAGGUCGUGAUCCUGGGGUUCUGGAGUGAGUUCUGCAUUUGGCUCCCUAAGGGGAGCCUGCUUCUCCCUCUGCUUGUGUCUCUGCCUCUCUCUGUAUGUUUCUCGUGGAUAAAUAGAUAGAAUCUUUUUAAAAAUGAAAAUAAUAAUACCGUAAUAAGGUAUUGUUGUCCCAUCUGGGAGUGGGGGGUGGCUAACAGUAACCUGAGGCUCAGACAGUUUAUAUUCUUUCCCCAUGUUUACUCAUAUAUGCCCAUAUCCAAGAUCCACAUUUCAUUAUCCUACACUGGGUAUCAGGAAAAAUUACCAUCAUUACUUAUGAUAGAAAUAGGUAUGUUUUCUAUUUCUUGUUAUUUUGAUUGUUAGUGAUUAAAAAGAGUUUGCAUUUUAUCUUCUAAGCCAGCAGGGUAGUUAGUGAAACUGUUUUGCUUUGCAGUGAGCCUGGGAGGAGAGAAAAGGGGGAUGGGGCAGGAGUGGGGGGUGAAGAGACUGGAUGACAGCAAGACUAAAGAACAAGAGGAUCAAUCCCUAUUUGUUGGAAAAGAGAAAGAUGACUUCAUAACUUUGAGUGCUGAUGCUGGUUCUCCUCCAGUAAUCAGAAAAAAGUUGAAGAGCCAGGAAAGCCUGUAUACUCCUUCUCUAUCUCCUCUGUACCUGAGCCCAGUCAUUUUAUCUUAAAGCCUUUUGCUCUUGCUCUUCUCUCAUUUACAGAGUUCCCAGUUGCUCCCCUCUUUCCUAACCCCUCCCCCACUCCUGUUUUCCCCUUGUCAUUCUGUUUUAGAGCCAAAACCUGACUCUCAUUGGGAAGAGGUGCCCAAGAGCAGCCUUGGCACAUGGUAAAAACAAAACAAAAAACAAACAAACAAACAAAAAAAAAAAAACAAAAAAAACCCUCCACCCUGAAGUAGAAACAGGAACCUGAACAAAUUUAUGUCUUCAUCUUCGGAAGUUUCCAAAGGCCCCUACAGCCUUCCCCUAACAGAAAUGUUUCUAAUUAAACCUACUUCUCCUUACAUACUAACAGUUCAGAUUUUUAAAAAUUCUUUAAAACAAAUGGAUUAAAAAUAAACUUUUGAAAUAC